GAUGAACGCUGGCGGCGUGCCUAAUACAUGCAAGUCGAGCGAACAGACGAGGAGCUUGCUCCUCUGACGUUAGCGGCGGACGGGUGAGUAACACGUGGAUAACCUACCUAUAAGACUGGGAUAACUUCGGGAAACCGGAGCUAAUACCGGAUAAUAUAUUGAACCGCAUGGUUCAAUAGUGAAAGACGGUUUUGCUGUCACUUAUAGAGGGAUCCGCGCCGCAUUAGCUAGUUGGUAAGGUAACGGCUUACCAAGGCGACGAUGCGUAGCCGACCUGAGAGGGUGAUCGGCCACACUGGAACUGAGACACGGUCCAGACUCCUACGGGAGGCAGCAGUAGGGAAUCUUCCGCAAUGGGCGAAAGCCUGACGGAGCAACGCCGCGUGAGUGAUGAAGGUCUUCGGAUCGUAAAACUCUGUUAUUAGGGAAGAACAAAUGUGUAAGUAACUAUGCACGUCUUGACGGUACCUAAUCAGAAAGCCACGGCUAACUACGUG
rnacentral:rRNA from 1 species